UCCUACGGGGGGCAGCAGUAAGGAAUAUUGGUCAAUGGAGGCAACUCUGAACCAGCCAUGCCGCGUGCAGGAAGACUGCCCUAUGGGUUGUAAACUGCUUUUAUCCGGGAAUAAACCUCUUUACGUGUAAAGAGCUGAAUGUACCGGAAGAAUAAGGAUCGGCUAACUCCGUGCCAGCAGCCGCGGUAAUACGGAGGAUCCAAGCGUUAUCCGGAUUUAUUGGGUUUAAAGGGUGCGUAGGCGGCCUGUUAAGUCAGGGGUGAAAGACGGUAGCUCAACUAUCGCAGUGCCCUUGAUACUGAUGGGCUUGAAUGAACUAGAGGUAGGCGGAAUGAGACAAGUAGCGGUGAAAUGCAUAGAUAUGUCUCAGAACACCGAUUGCGAAGGCAGCUUACUAUGGUUUAAUUGACGCUGAGGCACGAAAGCGUGGGGAUCAAACAGGAUUAGAUACCCUGGUAG
rnacentral:rRNA from 1 species